GAAACGAAUACCUGCAGCCUUUUGCUACAGCAACUUUGAAUCAUUUCCUCGAGAAGGCAGGAGCCAUCACGCCGAAUGGUAUAUCCACUCCAGAGAAAAGAGGGAGGGAGAGACCAGUGGUGGGAAGCAGAUGCUGCCAUUGGUGGGGAGGAGAUCAAUGGCCGCUUCCUUUACCUCCUGGUUUCUCCUUCCCGGCCGGCUAGGAAACUGCUGGGUCAAAGAAUCAGCAAUUUGUUCCGACGAUCGAGUAGGGUGCUUUUUGCAGGUGAUCUCCUUGGACUGAUGAGUUAUGCAACAAUUCUUAAUUGGGAUUGGAGUUCGGAAUUGACCAUAUACUAACAAUUUGAAAUGUCUGAACCCCUUAUUAAGUCAAUUCAAGAUAAAGGCCAUGGUGUGUGCAGAAGAACAGAAGGGAGCCAAAAAUGAUGGGAACAAGAAGUUAGAAUGUACUCCCUCCGUCCUAAAUUACUAUUCAUUUUGGUUUUUCUAGAUACAUCACUUUUGCUACUUAUCUAGACAUAUGUAUAUAUCUAGGUGCAUAUCAAAACGUGUGUAUCUAGAAAAAGUCAAAAUAAAUAGUAAUUUGGGAAGUAGGAAGUACAUAAAGAUGAGGAACUACAUCAACUAUGUAUUGUAAUACCAAGGAGGCCCAACAGCUGCAGUCCCACACCAGAGCUUAAGCUCUGAUGCUAAAUUCAACAGCUCAGAUAUGCACGAUUGCGUUCUUGCCCGAGGUCCUGCAUUUCAAGUGGGGGCGUGCAGCUGGUUUCAUGUUCUUGGAUAGGCCGGCUGCAGAAUGAACAGUUUCCGGUACAGUGGCGCAGCUCAAUGUACGUAGUGAUCCUGAUGUGUGGUACGUACGUAUGCCUGUUGCAUAGAUACAAUUGCCUUGGUCGUUUUUUUAACACAAAUAAAGUACCUCAGAAUGACAAGACUAGAUACAUGUGCACACACUGUUUGUCAUAAGCCUUGCAGUACAGCAUGUGACCUUUGAGAGGCUGCAUUGUGUGGGUGGAAUUAAUCGGUGUACAAUUUUACGUGCACAAACAGUUACUGCAUAUUACUGCUAGGGCCCAUCGUGGUGAUAGAUCAAUUGCAGUUCCUG